CUUUGAAGUAUGGGCCUUUUCCUCGACACUCUGGCUAGCGUAAACAAAGUCAGCGAGUUACAGGGCACGGCCGCCGACCCCACCUUAGCCUCGGGGGGGGGGAGCUUCAACUGUAAAGAUAACAAUCUGGUGAACAAAGACUUUUAGUAUUGGGGGACCACCCCCUCCAGAUGCCAACCCAAGUGAAUAAGAACUCAUUACUUUCAAACACUCAGUGGACUUCUCCCCAGCGUACCUUGAGUAUGAAGUAACACGCAAAGAGAAGCUCCCAUCUGAGGCCUCAGAUUAUUGUGACUGUAACCAGACUGUUUUAUGGCCAGAGGUCGAGGAAAGGGUGCCUGUGGGGAUAAACUAGUGGUUCUUCAGUACGGUAUCCAAAGGAAAAAAGAAUUCGAGCAGCCCGACCAGUGGCCCAAUACAGUGCAAAUACCCCACGUCACAACUCCUCUACAUCAGACUUUAUGAAGUUACAGACCAUGGGAGGCCCACCUGAAGAGCUACGGAACGGUCUGCUGGACGACACAAGGAGACAGUCCAGCAGGACCAACAGCACCAGAGUGGUGGCCUCCAUGGUGCCUGUGUAGCCACAAAGAAGUGGCCUGAACAUUGAG
ensembl:lncRNA